rnacentral:snRNA from 1 species
GUGCUCGCUUCAGCAGCACAUACACUAAAGUUGGAACGAUACAGAGAAGAUUAACAUGGCCCCUGAGCAAGGAUGACACACAAAUUCGUGAAGCAUUCCAUGUUUUU